rnacentral:rRNA from 1 species
GACGAACGCUGGCGGCGUGCUUAACACAUGCAAGUCGCACGGGACUGGGGGCAACUCCAGUUCAGUGGCGGACGGGUGCGUAACACGUAAGUAACAUGUCCAAGGGUGGGGGAGUAGCCGGCCCAACGGCCGGGUAAUACCGCAUGCAGUCACGGGGGACAUCCUCGGUGACGAAAGCCGGGGCAACCUGGCGCCCAUGGAGUGGCUUGCGGCCUAUCAGCUAGUUGGUGAGGUCACGGCUCACCAAGGCGACGACGGGUAGCUGGUCUGAGAGGAUGAUCAGCCACAUUGGGACUGAGACACGGCCCAGACUCCUACGGGAGGCAGCAGUGGGGAAUAUUGCGCAAUGGGCGAAUGCCUGACGCAGCGACGCCGCGUGUGGGAUGAAGGUCUUCGGAUCGUAACCACUGUCAGC